CCCUUAGAUGUUCUGGGCCGCACGCGCGCUACACUGACGAAUGCAACGAGCUUAUAACCUUGGCCGAAAGGUCUGGGUAAUCUCCAAAUUUCGUCGUGAUGGGGAUAGAUUAUUGCAAUUAUUAAUCUUCAACGAGGAAUGCCUAGUAAGCGCAAGUCAUCAGCUUGCGUUGAUUACGUCCCUGCCCUUUGUACACACCGCCCGUCGCUCCUACCGAUUGAAUGUCCGGUGAAGCGUUCGGACCGUGGCCUUUGGACGGUUCGCCGUCUGUUGGCUGCGGGAAGUUCGUUAAACCUUAUCAUUUAGAGGAAGGAGAAGUCGUAACA
rnacentral:rRNA from 1 species